UCGGGUUUUAGAAGAAAAGUUACUGACUACAAUACCAUUGCAUCUAACGAAUUUGAAAAUAUUGAGCUAAGAGAAAAAAUUGAAGGUUUGGAGAAAGAAGAGCCGAUAGUUCUUGUCCGAGAGAUGAAGGAAACACUUGAGGGAAUGAAAAGUCUCGUUGGGAUCAUAUCAUCACCAGCAGUGCACAGUCAACUAAAUGUACAACCUCCAGGUUUUGGUGUUCCAUCGCAAUAUUUAAGUAGUCCAUCGUCAAGUUCUUGCCACAUCGGUGCAAAAUUGGUAAAACUAUGGGGAGAAGUUUUC
rnacentral:lncRNA from 1 species